CACGGACCACGAGAAAAUGACCUGAGCCAAAGUUGGACACCUGACUGAGCCACCCAGAUCUGUUUUCAGUUAUAAUCUGUUGCCCCAAAGAGGGGAAUUAAAAAGCAUCUAUUUUUUAGAUGGAAAAACUGUAAGUGAUUGUCAUGCACUUGGAGUCGUGCGUGAGGAUGAAAGUUGGAACUUGUAGUCAAGGAUUCCUUUUCACUCUACCAUACCUUUCUGAAAAACUCACUUUUUGCCAUUAAAAAUGUUGUAUUUUAUUGAAGAAAAAAUUGCAUCUCUUCUCUUUGUGUAUAUGUAGUAAGUUACAUUACAUUAUAUUAUAUCAUAUUAUAUCAUAUCAUAUAUACAGUUGACCCUUGCACAAUGGGAGGGUUAGGGUACUGACCUCCUGCAUGGUCAAAAAUCCACAUAUAACUUUUGGCUCUCCCCAAACUUUACUGCUAAUAGCCUACUAUUGGCUGAAAGCCUUACUAAUACCAUAGUCAAUGAAUACAUAUUUUGUAUCUUAGAUGUAUUAUUUACUGUAUUCUUACCAUAAAGCAAGUUAGAGAAAAAAUGUUAAGAAAAUCCUGGAAGAGAAAAUACAUUUACAGUACUGUACUGUUUAUAUAUGUAAAACAAUCUGUAUAUAACCGACCUAUGUAGUUCACCCUGUGUUGUUCAAGGGUCAACUGUACUACAUAUAUAUGCAUGUGUUUAUAUUAUAUAUGUAUUUAUAUACUGUUAUGUGAGACCUUGAGCAAGCUACUUUACCUCUACUGCAUCCGUUGACCCAUUGUGGAUGUAAGAUACUAAUAAUACCUAAACUCACAUAAUUCUUGAGAGCUUUCAAUGAGGUAACUAUCACUAAAAAUGCAUCUUAUUUCGGAUAUACUCCAGAAUAAGUUGGUUUUUGUAGGUUCCUGUGUUAACAGAAUCACCAUAUUCUAUAUCAUCUUUGAGAAAAUCAUCUGUGAAAAAUAUAUUCUGAGUUUCUCACAACUGAUUUGUAAACUCAUUUCUGGAAAACACUCAAUUUAUGAGAAGGAAAUUGCUAGUAAUUAAAUAUAAAACAAACUUCAGAAUAGAUUACAAAUAAAUUAUUUGGAUGGGUUAGUUGGAAAUUAUGUCUUAAACUACACCUGUCACUGGUGAUAAUUGAUUUUUUGCUACAAUGUGUCAUACCUUAUGUUGGACAUAAUUGAUGGUAUUUUACUGGUCUGGCUCUGAACUCCUCUCCCACCCCUUUUCCUGCCCGUGGUGGGGAUCACUUCCUUUGACCUACUAACAUAUUCUUCUAAGGGACUCCUUUUGGCCCUGAAAGGAAUUGUUUUUUUGCUGUCUAUCUUCCAAUGUGGCUUUGCUGCUUUGUAACUCUUCUUUAAACAACAGAGAGAAACGAUAUUUAGCAGACCUAUAAAACUAUUCAACAGAGGUUAAGAAAUUUAAGUUAAAGUUUCCUAACUUAACUGAAAUCUGAAAGCACAUUAGGCAGCCGAAAGAAGUGCAAGGCACUCAUCAGUUUGUAUUCCUUAAAGAUUGUAGAGUUCAGAAAUAAGUUACAUGAAAAUUGCCAAACUCCUGAAUAUAAAUGUUCUCUUCGAACAAGUGUGCUUUCCAUAUUAAACUCUCUUUUAAACUUAUCCAGAAUUUUGUAGGAUCUCUUUGCCUUUCUACUUCCCCUGUCUGUAUAAAAAUGCUCUGGUUUCUCCUAUCUCCAGCCCUUCCUUUAAGUCGUAUUGUUCUUUCUAGUGACUUCCUCUUCACUUCUGAACUUUCUCAUUGAACAGUGGGGAGGGCUUUGCUUCUACUUUUUCACCAGCCCGUCUUUCCCCAGAUCCUCCUGAUUGCUGCUGGAAGGUGCUUUCUCUAGGCUUCCUAACGUCCUGAGUGUUAUGUACAAUGGCUUCUUCUGGAUCCCACGUCUCCAUAUCCUCUGGGCACCGCUGAGCCCUCUGCUCCCCCUACCCUCUGCUUGACCAGUGGUUCAUCCCUUGCCUCUUCCAUCCAACUCUCCUCGUCCUUUGGUUGUCUCUCUCAUAUUCUGUCCCCUUUUUCUCUAGUUCUCUUCCCCCAUCCUGACUCUUAAACAUGACUGCUAUAUCCCUUUCAAGUCUAGCCUAAUUUUUCCAGAUGCACUCUUUUUGGGACACCUCAUUUGUUCUCAGGACUUAAACCUUCAUCCCGGAAAAUGAUGCCCACUAAAUGACGAUCCCUCUCCUGUCUCAAAGGUCCACUUUUCCAAUCACCUGCCUAGCAUUUCUGCUUGAAUGGCCUGCCAUACGCUCAACCUUCACAUGGCUGGAAUGAAACAGCUUUGCCCCUUACAAAACUCCUUAGCCUCUUGACUUCCCUGUGUCUUGUAGUGACUCUAAGAUUCUCACUUUACAAAGGCUUGAAAUGUAAUAACCACCCUUUUGCUCUGUCUGCCUUCUCAAGCCUCAUAUUCCUUCAGUGUUGGGGUUUCUGUGAAUUAUUUCUUGACAAUAUUAUUGCGUUCAAUCCUUUUUUUCUGCAAGCUAUUCUACUCUGGGUCUGUAUUAGAUAAUAUUUGUCUUAUUGCAGCAGCCUCUCAGUCACAUCCUCCCUCCCAUCGUUUGCUCCAGUUCUUAUCCCUUCCAUCCUCUAAAGGCAAAUUCAUCUUUCUGAAGUACCCUUCUGAUUAUGCCAUCAUAAACAAAAUCUUAGAUGGCUCCUCUACUGGAAAAAAAAAUCUCUUUAGUCACUCAUUAAAGACUCUUCCCUUUGUAAAAGCAGCUUAUCUUCCUAUUCUUAUCUUUCUUCUCAAAGGGACCUUUGGCUCCAGCUAAUUGGAUCAGUCACCACUUUCAUGAAAUGCUGAUGCUCUUGUUGGCACCCUUCCCAGAAGGCCCUUUACACUGUGCACAACCAACUCAGCCUAUAACAUGGAGCUCAGUGCUCUCUUCCCGUGCGAAGCCUUCCUUGACCACCUGGCAUGAAGUAAUCUUUGCUUCUAUAAACUUUGAAGGCAUUUAUUAACUGAUAAAUUCAUUUUGUAGAGAUGUGCACUAACACAGCAACCUGUUUCGUUGCCUUGAACUGUUUCUAGAAAUGUAUUAUCAAGAACUAAGUCUGUUUUAAAUUUUAUUAUAGAUGUCCUUGUUUCUAUUCCCUUAAUUAGAAUAAAAGAUCUUAAAGAUAAGAGCCAUGUUCAUUCAUUCAACUUCUACUGUUUUACAUGAAGUCUAGGAGUAUGGAACUGAAUCAAACAUGAUCCUGUCCAGAAAUCACGCAACUCUGGUGGGACAGACUGGUAGAUAAACACACAAUUGCUGGUGGGUGUCAGAAAUGUUGUCAUUGAAGUAUGUGUGGGAUACACUUAGGACAAAAAGGAGAGAUUACCAAUGCUCUGGGGAGUGUUUAGGAAAGGUCACUUUGCUAGUUGAGUCUGAAAAGGGGGGUAUUUAAAAUGGGUCCCUCUUUUGUAUCACGUUCUAUUCUCGAAAAGUGCUGUGAGCAUUCCAAAGGAAGCAAAGACCCCAGGUCUGUGAAGAAAUACAUGACAAUAAAGCGAACCCUUGAUAGGUACAUUUUCCCCUAAGAUAUUUCCAGUAAUUCCACUACUGAAUAUUUACCUAAAGAAAAUGAAAACAAUUCAAAAAGUUACUUUAUAUUUAUUGCAGCAUUAUUUAUAAUAGCCAAAUUAUGGAAGCAACCCAAGUGUUUAUCCACUGAUGAAUGGAUAAAGAAGAUGUGGUAGAUAUGUACAAUAGAAGAUUACUUAGAAACAAAACACGAUGUUGCCAUUUGCAACAACAGGAAUAGACUUAGAGGGUAUAAUGCUGAGUGAAAUAAUAAGUCAGACAGAGAAA